GACGAACGCUGGCGGCGUGCUUAACACAUGCAAGUCGAACGGAAAGGCCCUGCUUUUGUGGGGUGCUCGAGUGGCGAACGGGUGAGUAACACGUGAGUAACCUGCCCUUGAUUUUGGGAUAACUUCAGGAAACUGGGGCUAAUACCGGAUAGGAGCUCCUGCUGCAUGGUGGGGGUUGGAAAGUUUCGGCGGUUGGGGAUGGACUCGCGGCUUAUCAGCUUGUUGGUGGGGUAGUGGCUUACCAAGGCUUUGACGGGUAGCCGGCCUGAGAGGGUGACCGGCCACAUUGGGACUGAGGUACGGCCCAGACUCCUACGGGAGGCAGCAGUGGGGAAUAUUGCACAAUGGGCGGAAGCCUGAUGCAGCAACGCCGCGUGCGGGAUGACGGCCUUCGGGUUAUAAACCGCUUUCGCCUGUGACGAAGCGUGAGUGACGGUAAUGGGUAAAGAAGCACCGGCUAACUACGUG
rnacentral:rRNA from 1 species